rnacentral:rRNA from 1 species
AAUGCCUGGAACGGUUUGUGGAUUAAAGCCCCGGCGGCAUAGGAUGGGCCUGCGGCGUAUCAGGUUGUAGGGGGUGUAACGUACCCUCUAGCCAUCAACGCGUACGGGUGUUGGGAGACAUAGCCCGGAGAUGGAUUCUGAGACACGAAUCCAGACCCUACGGGGUGCAGCAGGCGCGAAAACUUGGCAAUGCGAGAAAUCGUGACCAGGGAACUCCAAGUGGCUGGGGUAAGACCCAGUCUUUUCUUGACUCUUCAAAGGUCUUGGAAUAAGAGGUGGGUAAGGACGGUGCCAGCCGCCGCGGUAAUACCGGCGCCUCAAGUGGUAGUCGAUUUUAUUGGGCCUAAAACGUCCGUAGCCUGUUUGGUACAUUCGUGGGUAAAUCAACCAGCUCAACUGGUUGAAUUCUGCGAGCACGGCCAGACUUGGGACCGGGAGAGGUGUGGGGUACGCUCAGGGUAGGGGUAAAAUCCUGUCAUCCUGAGCGGACCACCUGUUGCGAAGGCGCCACACUAGAACGGAUCCGACGGUCAGGGACGAAGCCUAGGGGCACGAACCGGAUUAGAUACCCGGGUAGUCCUAGGUGUAAACGCUGUGGACUUGGUGUUGGGGAUUCUCCGAGGAUCUUCAGUGCCGAAGCGAAGGUGAUAAGUCCACUGCCUGGGGAGUACGGUCGCAAGGCUGAAACUUAAAGGAAUUGGCGGGGGAGCACCGCAACCUGAGGAUUGUGCGGUUUAAUUGGACUCAACGCCGGAA